rnacentral:rRNA from 1 species
AUUGAACGCUGGCGGCAUGCUUUACACAUGCAAGUCGAACGGCAGCGGGUCCUUCGGGAUGCCGGCGAGUGGCGAACGGGUGAGUAAUGCAUCGGAACGUACCGUGUAAUGGGGGAUAACGUAGCGAAAGUUACGCUAAUACCGCAUAUUCUGUGAGCAGGAAAGCAGGGGAUCGCAAGACCUUGCGCUGAUGGAGCGGCCGAUAUCAGAUUAGCUAGUUGGUGAGGUAAAGGCUCACCAAGGCGACGAUCUGUAGCGGGUCUGAGAGGAUGAUCCGCCACACUGGGACUGAGACACGGCCCAGACUCCUACGGGAGGCAGCAGUGAGGAAUAUUGGACAAUGGGAGCAAUCCUGAUCCAGCAAUGCCGCGUGUGGGAUGACGGGGCUUUGCCUUGUAAACCACUGUCGGACGGGACGAGAAGAGGUAAGAACCUCUGGGACGGUACCGUCAAAGGAAGGAUCGGCU